AUUGAACGCUGGCGGCAGGCUUAACACAUGCAAGUCGAGCGAGCGGCGGACGGGUGAGUAAUGUCUGGGAACCUGCCUGAUGGAGGGGGAUAACUACUGGAAACGGUAGCUAAUACCGCAUACCAUCAGAUUGGCCCAGAUGGGCUGAGCUAAUAGGUGGGGUAAUGGCUCACCUAGGCGACGAUCCCUAGCGGGUCUGAGAGGAUGACCAGCCACACUGGAACUGAGACACGUUCCAGACUCCUACGGGAGGCAGCAGUGGGGAAUAUUGCACAAUGGGCGCAAGCCUGAUGCAGCCAUGCCGCGUGUGUGAAGAAGGCCUUCGGGUUGUAAAGCACUUUCAGCGAGGAGGCGUUACUCGCAGAAGAAGCACCGGCUAACGCCGUGCCAGCCGCCGCGGUAAUUC
rnacentral:rRNA from 1 species